AAGUUUUAAAACCGGCAAUAAUCAACAAGAAAACAGUAAAAACUCUAAUAAAAAGAGUAUAUCUAUCGAAGAAAGUAAUUAUAGGAAAAAUUUAGCAAGUUUGAAACGGCGUGAGCAGUACGGACAAAACGUCAAUUUAAGAAACUGUUCAAAAAAUUCUGAAAACAAACUAAAACAAAAAAGAAACGCAUACGCAGAACAAGUCUUACAGAAAAUGUUAUCAAGUUGUACAAUACCAACAGCAGUCAAACGACACGGUUGUCAUUCGAAAUGUAAAGAUAAAUAUGAAUCGUAUGUCCGAUUAAAAAACAACGACAAUGUCAAAUUAGUCAAGAGCGAUACGUAUAUUGUGUACAAUAAUGAUUAAUAGCCGCCAGUAGGUUAAGAGUAGUAUAAAAUUAUGUCGGUCAGAAUGGUAUUUCGAUUUUUUUUUUCUCAAGAUUUUCGAUAACAACAUUGAACGCGUUGUCAUUGUAAUA